ensembl:lncRNA
GACCCACCUGCCCUGAAUGACUGGUUGCCACUGAUCACUAGCAGCACCAUAUAACCAUGUAAAAUUCGGAGUAUGUGUAAAUGUACUUGGCGAAUAGGUCAUUAUCAAAAACGUCAUGAAGACAAUAUUCUAUUUUUUUGCUGGUGGGCAGCUUCAAACUACAUUUCAAUGGAAGCUAAUGUUGCUAGAUAUGGUAGAGAUGGCGGUGUCAGAAUACUUAAAAAGGGCUCAAUACGAGGAAAGAGACAGGUGAACCAAUAGCAGCAAAUGUCAGGCCCUGCUUUGAGGACCUAGGUGAUGGUGAAGGCAGAUGGAGAGGUGAUGUGGCAGGCUAAGGUGUAUGGCAGGGUUGGCAGAGUCAUGUUACCAUGUUGGAGCCCUGUUAUACGCAGUGGAGGAAGGCGACCCCAUGCGAGAAUCGGUCACAUGCACGAUGGAACGGAGCAGCUGGCUGAUGCUUGCACAUGUAAAAAAGAUACCAGCAGCCCCUGUAGCCAACAUCGAUUUCUUAUCUGCAAGGGCUAAGAAGAGGAGGAUGGACCAGGCAGGUUGUACAAUGGAGCAGGCAACAUCAUCUCUGUCUUGGCCUCCCAUUGUUAUAGACAUGAAGCUGAUGCCAAACAGUAUGCAGAGGUCAUGUCCCUUGAACAUGAGAACUUUGUGGUCCAUGGCAGUGGCCUUCAGCUGAUGCCAAUUAGUCAUACAUAGGUGCCACACCUGAUGGGUUCCCUCAUUGUUACUCCUGGUGCAGGAGUCUGUGAGAUUAAGGUAAGAACGUAUACCAUACUCAAGGUAUGGUAGUGAACCACACUUAAAUGGGCAAUCAGAAGAUGAAACUAUAAUAAAUAGUUAUCCAACCCACAAAAGUUUAACUAAGCUCAUGAGGCAUUUAUAAGUUGCAGUAUAUUCUUCAAUGAUCAAUGGUUACUAGGGUUGAGUAUUUCCCAGGCAUUUUACAAAUGUUCC